UAGUGGCGAACGGGUGAGUAACACGUGGGCAAUCUGCCCUGCACUCUGGGACAAGCCCUGGAAACGGGGUCUAAUACCGGAUAUGACCUGGUGAGGCAUCUCAUCGGGUGGAAAGCUCCGGCGGUGCAGGAUGAGCCCGCGGCUCUAUCAGCUUGUUGGUGGGGUGAUGGCCUACCAAGGCGACGACGGGUAGCCGGCCUGAGAGGGCGACCGGCCACACUGGGACUGAGACACGGCCCAGACUCCUACGGGAGGCAGCAGUGGGGAAUAUUGCACAAUGGGCGAAAGCCUGAUGCAGCGACGCCGCGUGAGGGAUGACGGCCUUCGGGUUGUAAACCUCUUUCAGCAGGGAAGAAGCGAGAGUGACGGUACCUGCAGAAGAAGCGCCGGCUAACUACGUGCCAGCAGCCGCGGUAAUACGUAGGGCGCAAGCGUUGUCCGGAAUUAUUGGGCGUAAAGAGCUCGUAGGCGGCUUGUCAC
rnacentral:rRNA from 1 species